UAACACAGGUGCUGCAUGGCUGUCGUCAGCUCGUGUCGUGAGAUGUUGGGUUAAGUCCCGCAACGAGCGCAACCCUUGUCAUUAGUUGCUACAUUCAGUUGGGCACUCUAAUGAGACUGCCGGUGACAAACCGGAGGAAGGUGGGGAUGACGUCAAGUCCUCAUGGCCCUUAUAGGUGGGGCUACACACGUCAUACAAUGGAUGGUACAAAGGGUCGCCAACCCGCGAGGGGGAGCCAAUCCCAUAAAGCCAUUCGUAGUCCGGAUCGCAGUCUGCAACUCGACUGCGUGAAGUCGGAAUCGCUAGUAAUCGUGGAUCAGAAUGUCACGGUGAAUACGUUCCCGGGUCUU
rnacentral:rRNA from 1 species